CAGAUUAUAGUAUGUAUUCUAGCACUAAGUUUAAUAUCAAAUGUUUUAUCAAAACCAGGAAUUGGUUUUUCAGAUUUUUUUGGCAUUGCAGAAAAAUUGUCAGACACAUUUGACCAAGAAAAAUUUUCGGAGGUCAUUACAGAA
rnacentral:lncRNA from 1 species